GCCAGGCACCCUGGUCCCAGCUACUCAGGAGGCUAAGGAGGGAGGAUAGUCUGAGCUGAUGAGUUCUGGGUUAUAGUGUGCUAUGCUGAUUGGAAGUCCACACUAAAUUCUGCAUCAAUAUGGUAACCUCCUGGGAGCCAGGGACCACCAGAUUGGCUAAGAAGGAGUGAACUCACCCUAGUUGGAAAUAGAGCAGGUCAAAACUCCCAGGUGGGUCAAAAUAAUGAUUAUGUACACAUAUUAUUAUCCCCU
rnacentral:SRP_RNA from 1 species